UAAUUCAAAUUCAGUUUCAAAAUUCAGUUUUUGGUGCCACACAUCUGGGUCCUUGAGGAAGGUCACAGAGUAAUCAAACUCAGAUUCACCGAUUUACGGUUCACAUCAGGUGAAACCUCCUUUACGGCACUUGUUUACAGAGUACUUGAGCUUGACGGGGGUCCACCAUGUCAGAUGACCAGCAGUCAAACUCUCAGGCAGAUAACUCAGAAGUUGUCAGGUCAGCAAGACACCUCCUAAAUUUACUAACAAAUGCAUCUACCCCUGGCACUGUUCGGUCCAGUGUUCAGACUGCCCAAGAGCCUUCCAGGUGUUGUGAAACUAGACACAACAAGAAACACCUAUAGAUUAGCAGAACAUUUAAAUUAUCUGUGUUAAUGUUGUACUGUAUGAAUUACUCAGCAUUAAAUGAUGUGAUGCAUCCUCCUAAUAUUGUGUCAUUCUAGUAGACAAGGAAUGAGCCAGGAGAGAGAGAGAGAGAUGUCCGACCAAAUAUCCACACAGAAAUGACUAGGUUCCUUAUUGUAUUUAUUCCUUUGUCAGAUUUGUUCAUUACAUUUACUUUUAAAAUUUUUUAGAAGCAAUAACUUGGUCAAAUGUACAGUAACAUUGUUAUGUCAAUUUUUAAAAAUCAUUACAUGUCUUUUCCUGGUCUUUAUGGACACAAGGGGAAACGUUGAUGCUUUCAAGGGCCUUCCAACCAAUUUCCACCUGUUGAGAUCAAAUUUACAUUUUAUCUCCUACCCAAGCCUGUUCAGUCUACGCCUAAAGGCAGUGAAAAAGUCUUCCAUCUACAAGCCUGUUUGGGACGCAGAUCUACAGCAAUACCUAAGAACUUCAGUCAUGAUGAAGUAUGUUCAAGACUCAAAGAACUGUAUCCAAAGCUGGAAAGCAUUUCUGGGGGCUGGCUGAUUUGCAAAGGAGCAGGUGGAUGGGGUUCCCGCAAGCUAAAUAUGGUGUCUCCUGAAGACAGUGGUUACACUGGCUCACUGCUAAAGACUGCAAGUGGAAGUGGCAAAACUGUGUUGUACAUUGCUCCCAACCAGGAAGAGCUAGACACCCAGCCACUGCCCCCUGGAUCCAGCUCAUUCUCUAGUAUGCCAAGGCGAUGUGCCACUCCUGUCACACCAACCAUCCUCUUCAAAUCCUAGCACUUCACGUUGAAAACUGUCAGCCUGCUGAAACUAAUGUGCUAGAGAUUCCUGAUGAAGACUUGGAUUGCACACCACUUUCUACCCCAGAUAUUGAUGGAAACUAUCAAUCAAACUCAGACCCGAGGACUCCGUGCCCUAUCUGUGGUCAGACAUUUUCUCAGAAUGAGGUGGAGGCACAUGCAAGCGAGUGCAGUGAGAGCAAUGCAAGCCUCCUUCCUUUAAAAGAGAAGAUUUGCCUUUCCAGUCUGGAUGAUAUCCUGCAGGCCAUAACAGCUGCUGUGAAAACACAUGAAGAGUUCCCCAUCACAAUAUCAACAUGGUAGAGCGAGGCCUUGCACAGUGGAAGAGGCAAAAAAGGGCAUUGCUACCAAUCAGCUGAGGGUGACAUUUAUUGGAGAGGCAGGCGUUGAUACCGGGGCAUUAGGGAGAUAAUUCCUUACAGAUAUGGUUGCAGGCUUGGAGCAAAGAUUAUUUGAGGGUGACCACACUGGGAAGUCUCCCAAAUAUUCCUUACUCGAUCUUGAUCAUGGAAACCUCCGGAGUGCCGGUGAAGUUUGGGCAGCAAGUCUAGCACAAGGUGGGCCACCACCCUGCUGCCUCAAACAUUGGUGUUAUCAGUAUUUGUGCAAUGGAGAGCUGCAGAUUGAAAACAUUACGAAAGAAGAUGUCUGUGAUGUUCAUUAUACCUCUCUCAUCUCCAAGAUUGAGUGUGCCACAGAAGAUGAAAUGACAGAACUCACUGAGGAAAUGUUGAGCUGCGGCUCUCAUGGACCUGUUAAUGUUGACAAGAGAGAAGAAGUUAUUCGUGCCAUUGUUCUUCAUGCCAUACUUCGGUUGGUGCCCAGCUACUCUCCCAGCUACAUGAUGGUCUGAAACUUUAUGGUCUUAGUGAUCUAAUGAGCCAAUACCCAAACAUCUGUUGGCCACUGUUAGGCCCUGGAGUGGAAAUUAAGUUGAGGCAGCUAAGGUACCUACAUGAAACCUAUAGAGUUAGAGGCUGAUGCAGACUUCGCUUUUGAAUCAUGCCAUCCCAAGUUCAGUGAGAAGGGCUCCAACAAAGAACAGCUGGAAAUGAGCAUUAUGAACCAUCUACAGGACUUUUUGCAAAAGCUGGAAUCAUGUGAAGAGCCAGAGGCGGGUGACAGUCCAGUUCUCAACCCAAGCACAUUCUUGCAGUGGCUUACGGGACAAGGCCACAUUCCUUUCCUGCUAGAAGAGAAGAGAAACUUCAAAGUCUUCGUGCAGUUCAACCACACCUGUC